AGUUGGUAACACUGGCGCCAGCGCUGCUCGCAGUGCAAUUCACACCGCGCGGGUCGCCGGGUUACGAGUACCUACGUCAACCAAAUUACUACGGAGGUAUUUGCAGGGAUCCAAAAAUACAGGUUUCACAACGAGGUAAUCUUGGUUUAGAAGAGGACGAAUAACAACUUCAAUGCAAAGUAAUGUAUCCAGUCGUUCGCAGCCCAGCCAAUUCAAGAGCCGGAUUCAAGAAAACUAUCGCAACAAUAUUCUCUUGCCUAGAGUACCAAUGGCGACGUACCACAGAUCACUGCAAGCAUAUUCGAGAUAUUCGUAUAAUCAUUACAAUUAUUCGAAUCCGUAUCCAGUUUUCAAUAGAUUGAUGAAUGCUCGGUUUUAUCCCAGAAACCCCUUCAGGACCCUAACACGUCCUCUAAUAAUAUCUAACUCACAACGACAACGAACGUAUGUGAAAGAAAACACUAACAUAAAAACAACAAACAAACAAGAAUACUCUCCGCCGAUUUUGCCCAUAUUGUCCUACGAAGCUAUACUAAAUAUAUUAAAUAAUACAGAUUACAAUCAUCCUAUUCUAAAAAGACAACACGCAAGCGAGGAAGAUGAUAUAAGAUCAGAUAGAAAUUUAUAUUUAAAAAGCAUGAACAAUGAAAGAAAAGUAACGAAUACUGAUUGUAAAGUAGCAAAGAAAAUUUCCUUUAAGGAAUAUAAAAGACGUGCAUCUCUAACUGAAACAAUGAGUGAACAGAGUGAUAAUGAAAAAGAUGUUUAUGAUUAUGAUUCAGAUGCGACCGUCAAAAUAGGUUUAGAUAGUAACUGUUGAUCGGAUACUUUAUCGUUAAUUCGUUAGUUUGACUGCAGCGAAGUCCCUGUCUAAGAGCCGGCAUCAGGAAUAUAUACCUCAUCUGUUAUUUGUUAAUGAUAAGAAUUAUAUGAUGGAUAAAGAUAAUAAUCAUAGUUACACUUUGCCAAUAGGUCGUCUAGUUAAAUUGCGGCCAGACCCAUUUGUCAAACAAAAUCAAAGAAACUAUGAACUAGAUCAAAGGCAACCUAAUACAGUUAAAUUAAGCAUAAUAUAACAUAUCAUAUGACAUAUUAGACGAAUAAAUAACUGAUGAGGGUAUAUAAAUAAUUUAAGUCAACUGUUUAUAUCUAUCACGGUUGCAGUGUAAAAGCAGGCAAACUUUACUUUUUCAAUCCUUUUAGGUUUAAUCUAUUACGUGUACGAUUUUUUAAAUUAACCAAUGAGGGAAGGAUAUUAAAUAAU
rnacentral:lncRNA from 1 species